CAUAAAGCCCACAGCCUUCGUUUCAGAGAGGCAAAGAAACCACCAGGAAAUAAUAAAAAUAAAAGGCUCCAGCCGCCUAGCUGCAGCCCGCAGCCGGCUCUGCGCAGGCGCGCGGGAUGCCGCGUCUGACCUGGAGUUACCCCGCUAGGCAGUCCCAGCCGAACUAGGUGAAAGGUAACUAUCAGGCGCAGCUGGGGCAACAGCACAAGCUCGCCUCCGAAGGGCCUUUCCAGACUCAGCAAGUUUCUCUAAGCAAGCACUUCCUUCUGUGGACGUUGCCUGGGAUAAUCAGCCAUUACUUGCACAGUGCUGGCCCAUGGUGGAAGCUCAGCAAACAGUUUUUGAGUUGAUGAAACAUUCACCAAGAUGCCUACUCGCCUCUGGAAAAGUCUCCUUUCUCCCCGUCUUCUCGGGAACUUUGAUAUCAUGCGGUAUCAAUGGUGCAGUCCGUCCUAAGUAGUCACAUGUGACGUCAGCUCCUGCUACCAUGCCUGUGGCCUACAGGCAUGCUUCUGCCACGUGAGACUGCUGUCCCUCCAGAACUGUUGGCCAAAAUGAAUCCUUCCUUCUGUAAGCUGACUUGGUAAUGGUGUUUUUAUCACAAUAAUCACAGAAGAUUAACUAGAUGAGCUCUGCAUGUGAUUUAGAAGUUUCUAGUCCCAUACUUUAAAAUGUUAUUCAAAAUCCAAUGUAUAUUGACCUUGCAUGCUACAUUGCAACCCAUAGGCCAGAUGUGCCCACUGGUGCAAAAAGGACAUGAAUGUUACUUGGUAGCCAAGCACUUCCUGAUUGGAUCUGAGGUCUGUGCUACAGCAGAGAAUCCAGGCCUGGUAUGGCAAACCUGGUCAAAAGCCUAUGGCUAGAGAGGUCAUAAGCUCUAUGGGGAACCUGGUAUCUUACUUUACUGAAUGGUCAUUUUGUCUAUAUGAAUGCUUAUACCCACAAGUCUGUGCUGCGCUCAGCCUUAGCCAGAGAAGUGUCCUUUUGCAGUGGGUGGCAGUCAAUGCAGAGACUCAUAACUGGUCACAGUGCUGAGGGUCAUUGACAAUGGAUGCUCACACCUAGAUGGAGAUCUGUAUCAACCCCUCCAACAGUGCCUAGGAAAAGGAGAAGUAAGAGCUGGAAGGUGGGAGGAGUGUGUUAGGAGUUGUCUCUCAGGCAUGACAUGAUUGCUGUAUUCAUAAAAACAGCUAUCGUCAAGACCCAAGUGACACUAAUUGGGUUCUGUGGGUUAUAGUGUAUUGUCCGUGCUACCAUGUGUACUAUGGUCCUGUAGCACCUGUACUACGUGUACUACAGUACUAUGCCUAUAGAAAUCCAGGCAAAGGGCUGGAGAUUGAAACAAACACACAGAGACGUGUGUCAUCCUUGAAUUCCUCAAGAAUGCCCCUUUAUUAUGUUCAGGGGCAGCUUAUAUAGUGCUCUGGUCACGCCCCAGCUCUCGGGAUCUUUCAGCUACAGACCCAUCACAACCCACUCCCCUGCCCUCAGGGUCUCAUGCUCAGAGCAGCUGCAGGAAAUUCAGGGUCUGGUGGUCUGCAGUCCCCAAUUCUAUAGCUGAGUGGAAGGGCACAUGAAGGUGGGAGGGGACAUGUUGGGUAGGUGGAGGUGGGAGUGUCAGGGAAGAUGGAGUGGGUAUAAUCAAGAAACAUUGUAUAUGUAUAUAAAAGUGCCGAAAAGCAUAUAUGAAACAUUUUUUAAAGAAGAGAACUGUUGGUGGUUCUAAGUGUAAAUAAAUAUGCAUUUAUUAUGUUAUAUAUGUCUUUGUAUAAAGGAAUCUGUUCUCCCUUACUUGUUUGAAACAGAGUCUUAUUCUGUAACCCAGGUUAGCCUAGAAAUCACUUUGUAAUCCACUCUGGCCUCACCCUUGAAGCAAUCCUCCUGCCUCAGCCUCUAAAGUGCUGUGAAUACAGGUAUGAGCCACUGCACCUAGCUAGAAUCAGUGUUUAAAAAAUUUAUUUAAAAACCAUUUCUGUGUUUAUAAUUCAGAAAUUGGAUUUUUUAAAAUAGGGUCUUAUAUAGUUCCUUCUGGCCUCAAACUUGCUAUGUAGGCCCAGGAUGGCUUUGAACUCCUAAUCCUCCUGAUAUUUUCUAAGUGCUGCGAUUCCAGGUGUGAGCCAUUGUGCCCAAAUGGAAUCUGUGUUCUUGGCCACUUUGUUUCAUUCUCUUUCUUGGCUGAGCCACUGGAUACAUAAAUAAAAUUAAGAAACAGAAAUUGAACAAGAUAUCUCUUCAAAUUCCAAGGGAAUUGGGAAAUGGUAGCCCAAAGGACACAGACGAAAGGUGAACCUUGAGGACAUUAUGCUAAAUAUAACACUGCUCCACUCACACAACAGAGAGACUUUUUACAGAGAGAGCAGGACGCUAGUAGAGUGGGUAAUGGGAAGAUGCUGUAUGAAGUCUGUAAGAUGGAAAAGGUCCCGAGAUCUGUGCAACCUUGUGUUUCUACUUAAUGCCGUUUACAUAUGGAUAAUUAUAAGUUUAGGUGCCUCAUUACGAAUGUGUUGUUUGUUUUCAUUUCAGAUGAGGAAAGGGGGAAUAAAAAAGGAGGGCUGAGGAAAAAGACAACAGAGAAGGAAGUAGAAGAAAUUCUACUAGUUUAAUUAUGAGGAAAUUUUGCUAGUUUAAAAGAGGAGGUUAGGAGAUUGUCCUAUGAGGUGCUCCAAGCCAGCCCUCUGUCCAGGCACAAAAGAAUUCGGGUGUUUAAGAAGGACAUUGUAAGAUGUGCAGUCAUGGACUAGAAAUUAGAUCCCCAUCAAUAUUCUGUGAGAGACCGGAAUUAAAAAUGGAAUUUGUUUUAAUAACUAGGGAGAUGAGUCUUAUUUUUUUCUUUAACUGUGACCACUGAUAGAAUAAGCUGCCUGGACUUCAGGGAUUUGUUUGGUUGUAUAAAAUAUGUCCUAUUAUGUCCUAUCUAGAAAUAACAUGGUAUAGAAGAGAAAAAAAGCAGGCUCUAGGCGGAGUGGCACAGGCUAUGAAUGCCUCUUAACUAUGCCUAUGACUUUGAGCAAGUACUUGGGACUGACUCUAUCCUUCAACUAUAACACAGAAGCCAUGGUAUGUAUCAUAUGAGCUGUUAGGCAUACUGACCAUGAAUGAGAUUAUAUACACACAUAUGAUCACACCUAUAGAGACUAAUGUCUAUAUAAUAAACAUGAUUCUUUUUUAUUUUAGAAUGCACACAGAUUAGGGAGUCUGUUAGGGUUGCAAGAUGCCAAACUUCAGAAAUCAUUCUGCUGAAGAGAAAGGACUAUGUAAAUUAUUUUGCAAAAAUAGAAAAAGUAGAUGGCUUCAACGCUUCAAAUUUUACAGCUUCACACUGCAGUUCAAACCCCUCAAGCUCUUAAAUUUAAAAGUUCUGUGUGCAAAUUAAAAUUCCAAUCAGAUCAGUAAAGAUUUGAAGAAACAAGUCACACACCAUACCAGGAAUGUGGAAAAAUAUGACCUUCAUAGACUGCAAAAGACAGCGUGAAACAUCAUGUACUGAAUUGGACAAGAUCUAUCAGAAUUUUAAAUGAACAUUUCCCGAUGAGUUUAUUGAGCUCCCUGUAAUUGUGCCUCACGAAGAAAUGAUGUUUGCAUAAGGGAAUUUACUGCAGGAUAGUUUAUAAGGCCCAAAGCCUGCAAACAAUAUACCACUCAAAAUGAAACUGACCAAAUCAUAGAAGGCACAUCCAGAUGGCUGGCUGUGCAACCCUGUGUAACCCAAGGUAGAGAAUAUCCCCAGAGACAGUCAAGAUGCUGUGGUCGAUGACUGUUAAGCUAGCAUUCGUUGGGUAAUACACAAUCCAAAUAUCAAGCGUAGUGAAUGGUGCCUCCCACAGUACCACAUCUAUAUAAACAAGAGAAUUCCAGAUGGUAGGACCACAAGCCAACCUGGUCUAGAUAGUUCUUCACUGAGACUCUCUGUCCAGGUGAUUGUACAUUGUGUCAAGUUGACGAUUAAAACUAACCAUCAAACUCACUGUACAUUUUACAUGUUGUACUCAGAGUGCGAAUAUAUAUUCAAUAUAAUAAGAUGACAUUUUAAAGGAAAAAAUCAAUGUAGGGCAAAUAAUUUGAGUCAGAAGCCUGGGUUCACUGCCUGGAUGAUUGCAAAUGAGUGACUUUUCCUCUUUAGUUUGUUUCCUCAGAGAAAUAUUAAAGGCUGUUCCAACAUUAUUAUAUUAGGGCUAAUUGCUUACAGGUAAUAUGAUGUUUCAUCAUGUCUUUCUGUUUAAGCACAAAGUAUUGGGAAAUCCAGCUGUUCCCAUAUCAAGGCCAUUGCCUGGACUGGAAACUGUUUUAUAUUUUGGAUUGAGGUCACAAAGGGCCUAAACAGCUAAGAACAAAACAGAAGAUGUAGUGGUUCCACACUUUGCUACAUAUUAAUGAGUUUUGUGACUUGAAUGCCUUGGGGUUAUCAUUCUUGUCGGUGACACCCAUAAGCCCCUAUCCAGAACAAUGGGAGGGAGGACAGGGACCCGUCAGGGAACGCAGUGGUGGUUUAAAUAGGGAGGUGUCCUAAGUCCUGGCAAGGGCAGUGCUGGGUCUUCAGAGGUGACACUUUGAAAAACAGUAGUAGCAGGUAUGACCAUUUCUAGCACUAGAUGAGACUUUGCAUUUCAACUCACUAAACCUUAUUCCACCAAGAAAAAAAUCUUUGAUAAUGAUUUUGUUCAUGCAAUAUGUUCUGACCAGUUUUCCUUCCCUCAUCUCUUCUCGGGUUAU